CCUGUCCUUCUGCUUUGUCUCAGUGUCCCUUGGCAGAUGGCCUGAUGCUUGGGGCUGGCCCAAGGACACCUCAGGAAGGUUUGGGUCCCACUCUACAAUGGUCUGAUUAUACAGAGGGACAUCUAUCUGCCUUCUGGAGAUGGACAGGGGCCUUAAGACUUCGGUUGAGAACAGGAUGCUCUGUCUCUUACUGUCUGGGGCAGGCAGUGCCUCUAAUACUGGGGAUGCUAGAGGUGAUGUUUUUGGUAAACAGGCGGGGGUAGAGUUUGCCGAGUUCCUUUUACUUUUUUUAAUCUUUCCUUAGUGCAUGCCUGUGUCGGGUUAACAGUUCGGUUAAUUGGUGGAUUAAUUUGUAGUAUAUGAUAAUUGGGCUGUUAACUAACAGUAGUUGUUUCGGUCUGAGAUAAGCUUAUGCAAGGAGAAUAAUUUCAUGUUACUUAUAUCAACAUUAUUGCUUCUAUUUGAUAAUAGAUUGGUCCAAUUUGUAUUAGGAGUUCAAUGAGAUUAUUAGGAUUAAGAGUAAAUAAAUAUUGAGCUUGUACGCUUUCUUAAUUGGUGGCUGCUUUUAGGCCAACUAUGAUGGCUAAAUUGUUUACUCUCUAUAAAAGGUUGUUUCCUAGGGUCUUAAGAGCUGUCCCUCUUUAGACUAACAGUUAAAUUUACAGGAGGAUUAUGUGAUUCUGUAGGUAAAUUUAAAGUUGAACUAAGAUUCUGUCUUGGACAACCAGCUAUCACCAGGCUCGGUAGGUUUGUCGCCACUACCCAGAGAUUUUCCCACUAUUUUGCCACAUAGACGGGUGCGCUCUUUUAGCUAUCCUUGGGUAGCUCGCUUGGUUUUGGGGGGCAUUGUUUAAGUUCUCUUUAUAGAGCUAUUUCUGGUUGGUUCAUUAUGCAGAAGGUACAAGGGUUUAUCUUUGCUUUUUUGUGCUUUAUUGGUUUUGUUCUUUCCCUUGCGGUACUGUAUCUAUUGCGCCUAAAAUAUAAUUUCUAUCUCCUAUACUUUUGUAGUAGGUAAAUGAUUUAAUUAAUGAGGCUAAGUAGUAUAUUUUAGUAAUGUUUGGGCUAGAGUUAGCUCAAAACCAUUAUUUGUUGUGAGAUCUUCCGGGUGUAAGCCAGAUGCUUUAAUUUAAGCUACGUUUUGAUUCGUCCAAGCGCACUUUCCAGUACGCUUACCAUGUUACGACUUAUCCCCUCUAGAUCAGUAUGAAGUGGCUUGUUGUCAAUAUACUUUUGUGUGAUGUUUGAGGAGGGUGACGGGCGGUGUGUGCGUGCUUAAUGGCCUUGUUUCAAUCAAGCUCUCUAUUCUUGGUUUACUGCUAAAUCCACCUUAGGCCCUUAAAUUUCAUAAGGGUUAUCGUUUAGUUUUCUGAUGUAGAAAAUGUAGCCCAUUUCUUCCCAUGUCAUUGGCUG
rnacentral:lncRNA from 1 species